GACGAACCGUCCUAACGUUAUUCGGAUUCACUGGGCUUAAAGGGCGCGUAGGCUGUUUACCAAGUCCGGGGUGAAAUCUUUCGGCUUAACCGGAAAAGUGCCUUGGAUACUGGUGAACUCGAGGGAGGUAGGGGCAUGUGGAACUUCCGGUGGAGCGGUGAAAUGCGUUGAUAUCGGAAGGAACGCCGGUGGCGAAAGCGACGUGCUGGCCCUCUUCUGACGCUGAGGCGCGAAAGCUAGGGGAGCAAACGGG
rnacentral:rRNA from 1 species